GACGUAGGGCGCGAGCGUUAUCCGGAAUUAUUGGGCGUAAAGAGCUCGUAGGCGGUUUGUCGCGUCUGCCGUGAAAGUCCGGGGCUCAACUCCGGAUCUGCGGUGGGUACGGGCAGACUAGAGUGAUGUAGGGGAGACUGGAAUUCCGGGUGUAGCGGUGAAAUGCGCAGAUAUCAGGAGGAACACCGAUGGCGAAGGCAGGUCUCUGGGCAUUAACUGACGCUGAGGAGCGAAAGCAUGGGGAGCGAACAGG
rnacentral:rRNA from 1 species